rnacentral:rRNA from 1 species
UACGGAGGGUGCAAGCGUUAUCCGGAUUCACUGGGCUUAAAGGGUGCGUAGGCGGGAAUGUAAGUCAGUGGUGAAAUCUCCGUGCUUAACACGGAAACUGCCAUUGAUACUAUGUUUCUUGAAUUAUCUGGAGGUCAGCGGAAUAUGUCAUGUAGCGGUGAAAUGCUUAGAUAUGACAUAGAACACCAAUUGCGAAGGCAGCUGGCUACAGGUGGAUUGACACUGAGGCACGAAAGCGUGGGGAUCAAACAGG